rnacentral:lncRNA from 1 species
AAAACCUAAAUCCUUCUUUUACUUUCCAAGUUUAACAAUAAACCUUGAUUAGAUUUGCUGAUAACAACAAGUUCUCUCUCUUCUCGACUUAUAACUUACUCUCCCUUUUGAGUUUUCUUCUGCUUAUUUAAUUUCUAUUCAUGUUCUUUCAAACUCGCAUCAGAUUUUUGUUUGUUGGAUAACUUUUUUCUUGUUUAAGAAUAAGAAUGAGAGCUUCGAUUGAGAGAUCCAUGGCUGAAAGGUUUGAUGAUGGAGAUAAGAAGAAAAGUGGUCGAUCCAAUCGUCUACCCAAACAAAACUCUGGCCCUUCUACUUCAGGUACCUUUAAAUUUGUUUUUUUUUCACUUUAUAAUAAGUCAUUGGGUGUUUUGGGUUCGUUUUCUUUAGCAGAAAUUAUGGAAAUUUUGUUUCCUUAAACAAGUAUGCAUAUGCUUCACUCUUUCAGUUUCAUGUUGGUUUGGAAUCUGGGGUUAGUCUAUGCUCUGGAGAAUAUUUCAUAGAUGUAUUAGAUGUAUUUAUAGUGACCUUAAUUGGAUUCAAUGUGUUCCUUGUUUAGCUUGUUUUGAACAAAGCGGACCGUAUUAUGAUCGUAAAGAUUUGAGGGUGAGACUCAUCUAUAGAGAAACUAAUAUGUAUGCUUAUGCCUUAUCUGACGCAACGGGACUUGCUACUGCUAUUCCUUUCGUGAUUCCUUGUAAUUUGAGUUAGUCCUGUUUUAUUCAUAACCAAAAGUAUUUGCAUUUGAUACUAAACAAUAAAAUCUUUUACAACUUUAUUAGUGAUUCUUUACUAUAAGCAGUUUAAGUAAUUCUUUAUAAUUAAAACUGAAUUCAGAAUAUAUAACUGUGUUAUUUGUUUAUAACAUAAAGAUGUGAUUACGUUUCUUAAUCGUUAUUUAAUAGAUAACUCAAACUAGUUAGUCCACAAAUUAUCCAAAAUAAAAGUAUAUUUGAAGCUUGAAAAAUGUAUUAAAAAAAUUGUCACUCAAGUAUUAAGUGAUUUUCAAGAAAGAUUGAGUGAUUUUGUGUUAUGCUGAAAAUUCAUCAGACUUAAACUGUGGAAAGUUUUCUAGAAUAAUAUGUUGAUCCUUUUCAUUUAUGGGCUUUUAUGUAGCAAAUCCAAAACCCAACGACUAUUAUGAUUGCUAGGACAACUGUGGUCCAAGAUGACAUAAGUGGAGAUUGCACAACUUCUACUGUGCUCUUCAUUGGUGAACUUGUGAAACAAUUUGAGCGUCGCAUUGAUGAAGGCUUGUCACAACACAAUCCUUGCACCUAUUAUUGUCAUGAAUGAAUCUUCUUCAGGGUCUUCUUUGUAGACUUAGUUUCAGCUUAUUGUCAUCUCCAAUCAUUUGUUUUCAACAAUGGUUUAUACUAUGGAUAUAUAUCCUUUAUGUAUUAAUGGUGUAUUUUUUGAAAGAUAGAAAAUUUCUUAGUAUAUAUAGUUAUUUUGUGUUUAAUUAUAUCGCCCCUCGGUUUUUAAGUUCUAGCUCUGCCAAGGCACUGAUACACGUGCCUAUCUAAUGCACUUAUCAUUGAUUGCAAUAUAUAAUACAUAAAAAACUUACUAAACUAAUGCAAUAUAUAAUGCACUUAUUAGCUUAUUUUCUCCAUAUGUUACUUUGAUUUAUGUCCUUUAUAUGUGCAAUGAGUUGCUCUAAGAAAGAAGAAUAAGAAUAGAAUAGGAACUUGUCCCUCAAAAGAAUUGGAUAACAAUAGCAUUAAACAUGGAUUAUAUUAUGCCCUGCCAUCUAAAAGCACAUGCAAUUAGUAUUAAUGCAUACAACAAAAUGUUUACAUUGCAAUAUUAUACACAUGUAAUAUUAGUAUUAAUGCAUACUCAAGUGUGCAUAAUCAUAAGACAUGCAAUAUUAUAGAACCAAGUGUAUAUAAUGAUGCGGUAAUUAUCAAUGUUUUUUUAUUGUUCCAACUAAAUAUUUUCAUUCUAUUAUUUCAGGAAAAUGAAGAUGCAAGUAUGUGUGAUACACCUUUGGGUGCAAGAGGAUCAUCUAGAGCCAACAAUCUUUGAAAUUUUUGUUAUGUAUUUUGUUUUUAAAGUGUCAUAUGAGACUACUUUUAGUUUUUUGAGAUUUUAUGAUGUAUUUAGAUUUUUAAUGAAGGAUGGAUUAUAAUUCCUUCAACUAUGUUAUGCUACC